CGCAACGCCACCUCGCUGAAUACAAUCGAAAACAUACAUUUUAUAGUAAUAUAUGAUGAAAUAGAAAGUAAUUUGGCGCAAAUUAAUGUAAUUUGGUGCAAAUUUAUAAUUAUGCAAAUAAAUACAACAGCACAACGCAUGUUUAUGAGCCUACAACGUAUAUUUAUACUUGUUAAUUAAAAAGUCAAACUGUCAAACCUUUAACUUGUCCUUGUUUACUUCCACUAUAUUGUAUAAAUUCGCUGGGUCCAAAAUUUGGGGUUUUCGAGCCGUUACACAAAGAAAAACACACUAAUUCAACACGCAAGAAAGGCCAGCCGGAGUGCGACAUACCAUAAAAUCCAUAGGAAACCGGCACUGAAUUCUUUGAAAAUUCAACGAAACUGUGUGAAAUAUAUAUUAGAUCGCUCAGUGAAAAGCCGCCAUUUUGAAACUGAACUGAAUUUGUCACUGGAGCACGUUGCACCCUGAGCCUGCGAUGACUUAACGCAAACUCCAUUUGUCGUCGAAAACAGAAAAAGAGGGAUUUAAGACUCUUGGCCUACAGGCCAGUGUAAUAAAGUUUUGAAAAACUGUCAAAAUUCUAUGAGUAUGGAUCAUUGACAUAUAUAUGAUUUCAAUGUAAGUGUUAACUUCUAUAUAUAUUGUUUAUUGUUUAAAUUUGGAUGCUAUAUAUAUGUCAAUGGUAUGAAUUGUGACAACACCUGCUAUCCUGACUCUAUGGCAUCUAAAAUGUUUUGCAUAUAUCGAUUAUAUGGCGAUGAUAAAGAAGAUUGUCAAGUUAUCAGUGUGACAUCCCAGUUUAUGUAUCAACAUUAUGAUGUCACAACUCAGGUGACCUAUUAAGGAAACCUUUGUUACUGUUAUGGUAAUAAUCCGAAAUACUACUGCAAGUGGAAUUUAUAGCAGCUAUUUCAUUCAAUAUGAAAACUAGACCUGAAAACUUUGUUCUACUGUAUAUAAUAUAUGCUAGUGAUAUUAAUUUUAAAAGUAUUGUAUUUUGUGCAAGUGUAGUAUUGUUUGAAUGGAAUUUGUAUUUCGUGACUGCAUGAUUAUUGGUUGUCUGGAAAACGCGUGCACGUACACGCGUACACGUACACGCGUACAUGGAAAACGCGUACAUGGAAAACGCGUACAUGGAAAACGCGUACAUGGAAAACGCGUACAUGGAAAACAAUGUUCAUUUGUAACGUUAAUUAAAACUUGGUGGUUUUAUUGGAAGUCCUCCUGCAGACCUAGUG